rnacentral:tRNA from 1 species
GCCCGGGUGGCGAAAUUGGUAGACGCAAGGGACUUAAAAUCCCUCGGUGGCAACACCGUGUCGGUUCAAGUCCGACUCCGGGCACCA